CUUUUUUUUCCUGUGGCUAGCGCUAUGCCUAUCUUAGGAUCUGCAAAGGAUCCUAAAUGGCUUAGGUAGUAUGGUACUUUUAGUAGGCACACCAUGCAUGUUCUAGAACCCCUUGAUAAAGAUCUGUGCCAAUUCUUACAGUGAUAUUUGCUAAGGGGAAUUCAAUUGGCUUGUUUGGAAAAGUGGUUCUUAACAGUGCACAUAGUGGUAAUAUGCUGAGAAAGUGGCAACCACACUCUAAAAUCUUAUUGGGGCCCCAGGGACCUGAAGCUAUCUGAAAUGGUGGCAGGAGAGGGAAAAGAUAGAUUUCAUGCUGCUUACAUACUACAGCAUGUAAUUGGUCAACAUCCUUUUCUGUCAUCCUCCAAUCACAACCUACCAGAGGAUCCAUGAGAAUGGGUAUGAGCAGGACAAAACUGCCAGAAAACGCAGUUAUGAAUAUUUUCCCUCAAGUGGUUGUGUAGUACUUUGUUUAACUCGUGAACUAAUUUUUCAUUCUGCUUGGAUUUGACCUCAAUGCCUUUUGACCGUUCUACAUAUUUUCCACAACCAACUGAAGAAUGUAAAUAAACCGUUUUAUAUAGUAUUUCUUCAUAACUUACUCCCUUUAGUCGAUAGUAACACAUCUGAUGUGUUUCUAAUCCAUCAGUUCCGUUCUUUAUUGCAUACAUUCACCUCCCC